CAGCACCUCAAGUGGUCAGGAUGAUUAUUGGGCCUAAAGCAUCCGUAGCCGGCGCUGUAAGUUUUCGGUUAAAUCUGUACGCUCAACGUACAGGCUGCCGGGAAUACUGCAGCGCUAGGGAGUGGGAGAGGUAGACGGUACUCGGUAGGAAGGGGUAAAAUCCUUUGAUCUAUCGAUGACCACCUGUGGCGAAGGCGGUCUACCAGAACACGUCCGACGGUGAGGGAUGAAAGCUGGGGGAGCAAACCGGAUUAGAUACCCGAGUAGUC
rnacentral:rRNA from 1 species